UUAAGUUCAGCGGGUAUUCCUACCUGAUCCGAGGUCAACCUUUAAGACUUUAGGGGGUUUAACGGCUAGAAACCCACCGGUGCCCCUAAGCGAGAGAGAUCUACUGCGCUCGGGGUCCCGGCGAGACCGCCACUGAUUUUCGGGGCCUACAGCAGCUGUAGGGCGCCCAACACCAAGCAGCCAGGGCUUGAGGGUGGAAA
rnacentral:misc_RNA from 1 species